AGAGAACGACCAGCCACACUGGGACUGAGACACGGCCCAGACUCCUACGGGAGGCAGCAGUGGGGAAUUUUGGACAAUGGGCGCAAGCCUGAUCCAGCCAUGCCGCGUGCAGGAUGAAGGCCUUCGGGUUGUAAACUGCUUUUGUACGGAACGAAAAAGCUCUCUCUAAUACAGGGGGUGAAUGACGGUACCGUAAGAAUAAGCACCGGCUAACUACGUGCCAGCAGCCGCGGUAAUACGUAGGGUGCAAGCGUUAAUCGGAAUUACUGGGCGUAAAGCGUGCGCAGGCGGUUUUGUAAGACAGAGGUGAAAUCCCCGGGCUCAACCUGGGAACUGCCUUUGUGACUGCAGAUUGGAGUGCGGCAGAGGGGAAUGGAAUUCCGCGUGUAGCAGUGAAAUGCGUAGAUAUGCGCAGGAACACCGAUGGCGAAGGCAAUCCCCUGGGCCUGCACUGACGCUCAUGCACGAAAGCGUGGGGAGCAAACAGGAUU
rnacentral:rRNA from 1 species